rnacentral:pre_miRNA from 1 species
AUGAUGCUCGGACCGUCGGUCUAUCGAGAAAUUUCACCCGUUCAGUGGAAGAUCUUCUCCAUGUUGU